AACGCACCUUGCGCCCCUUGGCAUUCCGAGGGGCACACCCGUUUGAGUGUCGUGAAAUUCUCAAACCUUCUUGGUUCCUUGACCAAGAUGGCUUUGGACUUUGGAGGCGUUGUGCUGGCUUUGCAAAAAGUCGGCUCCUCUUAAAUGCAUUAGUGGGGUCCCCUUUGCCAAUCCCCAGGCGUGAUAAGAUGUUUCUACGUCUUGGGAUUUGCUCUGUUCACUGGGAACCCGCUUCCAACCGUCUCGUGAGAGACAUCGUUCGAGCUUGCUCGGCACACGAAUCUUGACCUCAAAUCGGGUGAGACUACCCGCUGAACUUAA
rnacentral:misc_RNA from 2 species